UACGUAGGGGGCAAGCGUUGUCCGGAAUCAUUGGGCGUAAAGCGCGCGUAGGCGGCCCGGUAAGUCCGCUGUGAAAGUCAAAGGCUCAACCUUUGAAUGUCAGCGGAUACUGCCGGGCUAGAGUCCGGAAGAGGCGAGUGGAACUCCUGGUGUAGCGGUGAAAUGCGCAGAUAUCAGGAAGAACACCGGUGGCGAAGGCGGCUCUCUGGGCCUUACCUGACGCUGAGGAGCGAAAGCGUGGGUAGCGAACAGG
rnacentral:rRNA from 1 species